AUGAACGCUGGCGGCGUGCCUAAUACAUGCAAGUCGAGCGAACAGAUGAGGAGCUUGCUCCUCUGACGUUAGCGGCGGACGGGUGAGUAACACGUGGAUAACCUACCUAUAAGACUGGGAUAACUUCGGGAAACCGGAGCUAAUACCGGAUAAUAUAUUGAACCGCAUGGUUCAAUAGUGAAAGACGGUUUUGCUGUCACUUAUAGAUGGAUCCGCGCCGCAUUAGCUAGUUGGUAAGGUAACGGCUUACCAAGGCAACGAUGCGUAGCCGACCUGAGAGGGUGAUCGGCCACACUGGAACUGAGACACGGUCCAGACUCCUACGGGAGGCAGCAGUAGGGAAUCUUCCGCAAUGGGCGAAAGCCUGACGGAGCAACGCCGCGUGAGUGAUGAAGGUCUUCGGAUCGUAAAACUCUGUUAUUAGGGAAGAACAAAUGUGUAAGUAACUAUGCACGUCUUGACGGUACAUAAUCAGAAAGCCACGGCUAACUACGUG
rnacentral:rRNA from 1 species